rnacentral:pre_miRNA from 1 species
AUCACAUGGAGAUCUUGUUUAAAAUGCAGAUUCUGAUUGACUAGAUCUUGGAUGGGGCCCCAGAUUCUGCAUUUCUAACAAACAUUCAAGUGAUGCUGA